rnacentral:rRNA from 1 species
GACGAACGCUGGCGGCGUGCCUAAUACAUGCAAGUAGAACGCACAGUUUAUACCGUAGCUUGCUACACCAUAGACUGUGAGUUGCGAACGGGUGAGUAACGCGUAGGUAACCUGCCUGGUAGCGGGGGAUAACUAUUGGAAACGAUAGCUAAUACCGCAUAAUAUUAAUUAUUGCAUGAUAAUUAAUUGAAAGGUGCAAUUGCACCACUACUAGAUGGACCUGCGUUGUAUUAGCUAGUAGGUGAGGUAACGGCUCACCUAGGCGACGAUACAUAGCCGACCUGAGAGGGUGAUCGGCCACACUGGGACUGAGACACGGCCCAGACUCCUACGGGAGGCAGCAGGAGGGAAUCUUCGGCAAUGGACGAAAGUCUGACCGAGCAACGCCGCGGGAGUGAAGAAGGGUUUCGGAUCGUAAAGCUCUGUUGUAAGAGAAGAACGGGUGUGAGAGUGGAAAGUUCACACUGUGACGGUAUCUUAACAGAAAGGGACGGCUAACUACGUG